AUGACAUCAACAAACUAAUCAGGGACACCAAUUCAAUCAAAGUGAGUUCUUAUGAUGUAAAGUCUUCUCCAAGUCUCUACAUCUUCUUGGUUUCCCAUUUUGCAUAAUAAAUGCCAUUAUUAAAGAUAUCCAUUAUGCUCACUCAGAUUUCUUAGAUGUUCUUAAGAGCUUCAGUGAAUUUGUGAUUUAUAAAACAUAAUGUAGAAGUCUUUAUACCUGAGUAAAGCAAGGAACUUAACCACAAAAAAAAAAAAAGUUUGUCUCAAUUGCCAUGGUGAUUUAUGAUAAACUUUCAGAUUUUGGAUAUGAAGCAUCCUUUUUAGGCCAGCUACUUCCUCCAGAGUGAGACCUUGGUAAAGAUAACUAUAAUAUGGUGGCCAAGUGUGGCUAGAAGGUAUUUUGCUCAAGACAGAAUUGCCAUUUUAAUUUUCCAUUUUUUAGUGAAAUAAUUAACACAUUUACACAAAAAUAAUACAAAUAAUUCCCUUUUAUCCUUGACCCAGAUAUCCACAUUUAAUCACUUUUGCCUUACCAUUUUAUCAACGUCAGAACUGUCUUUUGAAGUGAAAUAUGUUGAGAGUUCUUUUACUCUUUCAAAUGAGUAUUUUUAUUGGUGCUCAUUAUUUUUGAAUGGCUAGCAUAAAAAUUACAUUUAGUCAUAAACUGAAUUAUUUUUAUUGACUAUAUCCCUUCAUUAAAUGUCUCAACAUUAACAUUCAGCAAUGAAUAAAAGAGACAAAAUUCCUGUUCCUAAUGAGCUUUUAGUUUUGUGGCAGUUGAAUAUAUAUACAAGGAAGGGUGCCUGGCUGGCUCAGUCAGUGGAGUAUGCGACUCUUGAUUUUGGGGAUGUGGUUUCAAGCCCCAUAUUGGGUGUAGAGAUUACUUAAAAGUAAAAUCUUUAAAAAAAAAAAGAAAGAAACUUGGAAUUCCUUCACGUGAAUGGAAGCUGAUGAAGCUGUUGGGCAUACAUGAGGUGGUCUAAAGAGACAAGUAAGAAAACAAGAGGGCCCAGUCAGCCUUGGGGAAAGACCAACAGAGUUAUUAAAAAAAGGAACAGGAAAAGGGAAAGGAAAGAGAAAGAGAGGGAGGGGAGAGGAGGGAAGGGAAAGGAGAGGGAAAAGGAAAGGGAAAGGGAAAGGAAGGAAGAAAAGAAAUAGAAAUAGGAAGAAAACAAGGACAUGUGUAUGUGUGUAUGUAUGUAUAUGUAUGUAUAUGUAUAGACGUGUGUGUGUAUAUAUAUAUAACAUAUAACAUAUAUGUAUAUAUGUUACUUAUCUUGUUAAGGAGACAUGACCCCCACGUUCUUAAAAUGGACAUGUUACACUCUCUGUUGUGGGAUAAAAAUUAAAAAGUUUAUUUUACAAGGUUAGACACUGUAGACAUUGGGUAUUUACUAGCCUCUCUUGUUUGUCCCAAUUAAGGAAAUUACAAUUUGAAUAUUUGCUCUUAGUAACUCUUUGGCUAAUUAUGUAGAUUAUGUACAAGUUGUAAAAUUAGAACAUUUUAAACUAGGGAUUUUUUUUCUCAUGCUGUCAUCAUUGAUCUGUAAGAUAUGCAGAGAGAAGAACAGUGUGCUUUUAGUCAAGAUUGGUUUGUUUUGCUUUCUAGUACAAAUUGCCUGUACACACAGAGGUCAGCUGGAAAGCAGAUGGCAAAAUCAUGGCCCUUGGCAACGAAGAUGGGUAUGUGUUUGUUUCUUAAAAAAACGAAUUCAGAAAACUUUGUUUUUGUAUGUAUUACACAUUUGAUCAAAAGCUGACUAAUGCCAUCUAUAGUUUUAGUUGGGGUAGUCUAGUUGAAUAUGAUAUUCUGAUCUGUCCUUAAUAUCCUUGAAUGAUCUGGAAGCUCUUUGUAUUUUUGAGAAUGCAAAAUAAGUUGGGUAUUUUCAGUCUAAAGAAAUGUUUGCCCAUUCAGUGUUUCAGCUGUGUUAUGCUUCACAAAAUGUUGGUCUGCACUGAAAUGCAUAAAUCGUCCUUCAUUUUUUUAAACUAAGCCUGGGAAGAAAUGGUUUUUGGACCUCACCAUGCUCUUUCCAAUGUUGAUCCUAAUUACAUAGUCCUAAUUUAGCCAUUGGCUCAUUAAUUCUUUUAGCUUUUCCAUAGCACCGUUUAUUACAAGAGCCUGAUAAACACAACUGCUGCCCAGAGAUUGAUGGGAUUUUUUCAAAGCUGAAUACAUUUGUUUAAAAAAACAACUUUUUGUUUUUGGCUCUCUAUAAGAGAGUGACCUCUGCAGUGAUAGAUAGGGUUAUCCUAUUCCAUUUCACCUUUAGCUGAGUGAUGGAAUGAGGGAGAUACUUGUUUGCAUUAGAUUGUAAUUUGACCAUCCAUCUUUCUUGUCUCAUGGGUUUGUGACUCCAGAUCAAUAGAAAUAUUUCAAGUUCCCAACCUGAAACUGAUAUGUACCAUCCAGCAGCAUCACAAGCUUGUGAAUACCAUUAGCUGGCAUCAUGAGCACGGCAGUCAGCCGGAGCUGAGCUAUCUGAUGGCCUCUGGGUCCAACAAUGCGGUCAUUUAUGUGCACAACCUGAAGGCUGUCAUAGGUAACUUUGCUUUCUUACAUCCUGGGGCCAUAUGUGUUCAGCUAUUCUGCAUUCCAAGUUUUGUACCUUUUUACUUAUUUUUUGGUAUUAAAAUGUUAUUCUUAUUGUUGCUUCUGCUUUCAAAAGUAAUAUAUUCAUCUUACUUAUAAGACAAAAAUUUCAAACAUGACAAAAAGGUUAACUUAAAAAAUGAAGUUCCUCCCAUAAUAACAUCCCUCAGUCAUAACCAGCAUGAUUAGUUUGCUGAAUGUUUUCUCCAGUUUUUUUUUCAGUAUUGUUACUGCUGGGCACCUGGGUGGCUCAGUCUGUUAAACCUCCAACUUUGGCUCAGGUCAUGAUUUCGCAGUUCUUGGGUUCAUGCCCCGUGUUGGGCUCUGUGCUGACAGCUCAGAGCCGGGAGCCUUCUUCGGGUUCUGUGUCUCCCUCUCUCCAUGCCCCUCCCCUGCUCGCUUGUGGUGUCUCUCUCUCUCUCUCUCAAAAAUAAACAAACAUUUUAAAAAGUUUUUUAGUAAAAUAAAAAUAAAAAAAAUAAUAGAGUAUUGUUAUUGCUAAGUGGCUCCAAAAAGAUUGUGCCAGUUUAUACCCUCUUCCUUCAGUGUUUGAGUAUUUUACACACACAUCCCAUUCCCAUGUUUGACUGUAUCUAAUUCUCAUGGUCCUGUGAGGUAGACUGUGUUAGCCACAUUUUCCUGAUGUUUAAAUUGAGGCCCAGAGAAGUUAGCUUAACUUCCUAAAGUCCCAUAGCUAGUGUGGAGGGGAGCCUAGAUUCAAGCCUGAUUGCAGAACCUAUGUGUUCUGGUAAGUACUAUUCCUGCCUAGCAGGUUGAUCUUUUUCACAUUUCCAUGACUUAUUCCUUAAGGAGUCUUUGACCCUUCUCAGCACCCACAAAAACCAUAAUAGGUGGUUAGAAGAGCCCUUUUUUUUAAUACAAAAGAAGUGCGAUUACUUCUUUCCUAAUAUGAAGAAAUUAUAAUCUGACACUGUGCUGUUUGAAGAGUAGUGCCAAGUAUGUGCUGUGAAAAUAGUGAAAACAGUUGACAUUUUCAUUUUCUCUAGAAUUUCCAGUAGUUUUCUGAGAAUCCUUAUCUGUAACAACAAAAAAUGAUUCUAGCAGCGGUUCUCUCAAGUUAAAAGCAAAUGGAAAACUAUUAUAGACAGAUUUUCCUAACAAUAAGUAGUAGACAGUGUGUAACUAAUGAGCAUGAUAUGUUAGAAAGCUUAUCCUGGUCUUUAUCAUUAUUAUCGGGAUGCCAAGUUAAGCAUCCACUUCGGCUGAGGGCAUUGACUUAAUUCCUCAGAGCAAUGCAGAUCUUUGUCUACUUUAACACUAAUAUCUUAGCUUGUUUUUUAUUUUUUAUCUACUGAAUAAUAGAACAAGAAAAAAAGUUGGCCAGAAUCAAUAUCCCUUUCAGACUGGGAACUCUCAUACUCUUGUUCAAACGUUCAACAGCUAUUAACAUUUUGUCAUAUUUGCUUGGUUUUUGUUUUUGUUUUGUUUCAUUUUGUUUUGUUUUGUUUUUUGCUUUAAAUAUUUCUUUCAGGGAGAGGACCCCACACUCCUACUCAGUUAAGGGAAGCAUUUUUACAGCCUUAAGGUCUUUUAUUUUUUUUAUAUUUACCAUGCCAUGAAUUCAUAUGGAAUGGGUUCCAGCAACUCAGACUCCUUUCCGCUGGUCCUCACAGAGUGUGCUUCUCUGGGUGGGGCAGGCUGGUGCUUCAGUUGAACCCAAGUACCUUUCUCCUUGGCUUCUUACUUUUUCUGAUCAUUUUCCUUCACUGCUUCAGGAAGCUAUCUUGGCUCUUCGAGUGCUUUAUAUGCUCAAUACAUACAUUAGUUCUCUUGGCAAGAAUCUUGUCCUUGUUUGUUUACAAUAAUGCCAAAAGCAUGCUGGGUAACACCAUAGGCUCUUCCAGUUUUGCCAUGGUAAAAUUUGUGUGGCAUUCCUUUUUGAACAGUGCCUAUUCCCUUGAUGUCCACAGUAUCACUUUUCUUGUAGAUUAACAUGUAUGUGGCCAAAGGAACAACUCCAAGUUUUCUAAAAGGCAUAGGGAACAUACAGCGAGUACCUCUCGUCUUUCCCUUUGUGUUGGUCCUUGUGGCAAAUUAUUAGAAAAUGGCAGUUCUGGCUGAAAGGGAUAAUUGCUGCUUGGUUCUCUAUGUGUCUGUGUAUGUACUUUUCCCAAACCUUUUGUGUUGAAUGCGUCAUUCUCUCCAUGUCCCUUAAUAUUUGUGUAUUUUGUAAGAAUAAGGAUAUUCCCUUACAAUCCACAAUUCCACUAUCAACUUGAGUUAAUUUAACAAUAUACAAUGGCUUAAUCUAUCAUCCAUAUUCUAGUUUUGUUGAUUGAUCCAAUAAUAUCCUUUAUAUCUAGAAUAGUUUCUCAGCCCUUUUUCAUUUUUAAACUGUAUUUAUUUUUGAGAUAGCACACGCGUGAGCAAGGGAGGGGCAGAGAGAGAGAGGACAAGGAGAAUCCCAAGCAGGCUCCACACUCAGCAUGGAGCCCAAUGAGGGGCUCAAUCUCAUGACCAUGAGUCAAAAUUAAGAAUCGGAUGCUCAAUCGAGCCACCCAGGCGCAAAGUCCAACAUGAGGCUUGGUCUCAGGAGCUGAGAGAUCAUGACCUGAGCCAAAAUCAAGAGUCAGAUGCUUAACUGACUGGACUACCCAGGAGCCCUACAGCCAUUUUGUUUUUAAUCUUUGAAGAAUAUUGCCCUGUUAUUUUGUAGAUGCCCCCUUAAUCUGGUGUUUUUCUUAUAGAUUCAGAUUAUAUAUCUUUAGUUACCAUAAAAGUGAUGAUACAUCCUCCUUGGUACCAUAUGCAAAAGGUAUUAUUUUCACUUUGGUGGCUUUUGAAAAGACAAAAUGACAGCUAACAAUGCAGUAAACCCAUAUGCCAAGCACUGUGGACAUGCCCACAGUCUUAACCAAUAAAUAACAUUGCCUGCUGAAAGUCAUCUAGAAAGCAUAUGGCAAAAUCUUGACUCUCCACAAUAAUACCUUCCUCUGGGUCUUUUUGUUGUUGGCUGUUGGUAGAAAUGUCAUCUUUCCCUUGUCUCUUAGAGAGCAAUCCUGAAUCUCCAGUGACCAUUACAGAGCCCUACCGGACCCUGUCAGGGCACACAGCCAAGAUUACCAGUGUGGCAUGGAGCCCACAUCAUGAUGGAAGGCUGGUAUCUGCUUCCUACGAUGGUACAGCUCAGGUACUAUUGUGUUCUUGAUUCUGUGGGUUCCUCACCACAUACUCUAAUUUGAACUCUUUCCUCUUUUCCCCCAGUUGUGUACAUUCUUUUCCUCACCAUUAUCUUGUACAGAAAGGGAUAUUCUGUACAAGAUAUUCUAGAAAACAUCCCACAUAUCUGGGACUUUGGCAGGCUAAGAUUGUUUUUUGGGGGGUUUUGGGGUUUUUUUUUUUACUUAGAUGAAAGGGAAAGUAUUGAUAGGGAACUAGCUAAAUUCUAGUAUCUUUUAAGAUUUCAUUCUUACUGUCAUAAGAUGGGCUAAAUUGAUGUGAGAAGUACCUGUUCCUGUCUUAAACACAAAAUGGCUAUAAAUCAUGAACAAUUUUUUUAAUAAUAAAUUGUAAGUCAGAAAUCUUCAGGUUGGAAGAAAUAAAAGUGAGAUGCCAAGCCUGAGCUAUGAGAUAGGACUUUCAGAUAUCAGAACCAGAAUAGACAUUAGUAACUAGAGAGCUAAUAAUCUCUGUGAUGGAUGUCAGUCUCUGUUGAGUUGUAAUUGAGUUAUCUGCACAAACCAAGAAGCCAUGAAGGGCUGCCCUCUGUGAAAUGGAGACUGGAGUAAUUCAAGAAACAGUAAGGAAAUUGAUCAUUUGCCAAGAAAUGGGGCAGAAGAAUCACCUGCAAAAAAUUAGAACUGUAAGCAUGGACUACACAUGCAGCUGUGAGUUCUGAAUUAGAAUUCUCAUGACACAGGAAAUACGAUUUCUGAAAUUUGAACACCUAAGAGGAAAUAAUAAGUCAUAAGACUAAACAAGAGUACACAGAUUUGUUUAAAUCUUUUUAAAUUUAUACCUGCUCCCCAAAGCAAUAGAAUAACCAAAAAUUAUCUAUGCUGUCAUGUGGCUUUUGGUUUUAGGUGUGGGAUACUCUCAGAGAAGAGCCUCUGUGCAACUUCCGAGGACAUCGAGGUCGACUGCUUUGUGUGGCAUGGUCCCCACUGGAUCCAGACUGCAUCUACUCAGGGGCAGAUGACUUCUGUGUGUACAAAUGGCUCACUCCCAUGCAAGAACAUUCUCGGCCUCCUCAAGGUCAGUCAGAACUGGGAGCCCAUAAAUGCUUGCCUACUUCCCUUUCUCCCUACCUCAGUAACUAAGUUGAUCAGGCUCAAGCAAAGAGGACAUUCAUGUAGGGCUCUGUAAUGGUCACUGGAGAUUCAGGAUUGCUCUCUAAGGUGGCAGCAACACCAUGGCACGGGUUGCUUUCCUAAUCAAGGAAGGCAGCCAUGAGGGGCCUAAGGACAACAUCCAAAUAGUGUCGAGUAGACCUAUGCCCACAUCUUGGUUUCUAGAUAGCAUUCUCUGUUAAGAGAGACUAACCAGGGCUUCUUGGAGAAAUGGCUAAUUUCAGGUUGAGGCAGGAAAAAUACAAGAUGGGCCUGGCACAUCAUCCAAUGCCACAAAGGAAGGAAAUGUCCAAAGAACUGAGAUCUGUCAAGAGGACAAAGAAGCCAGCUUGCAGGGGCUCCCACUAACCAAAUCUGAGACAGUCUGAACUUGAAAAUAAUGAACAGAAGAACUCCCUGGCUAGCAAAGAUUAACUGAUACCAGUUAUAUAUUAAACAACUAAAAAUGUGCCUAAAUAAAUGAAAUGAUCUAUCCACAUGAUGAUUUGUAAAAAAAAAAAAAAAAAAUGCUCAUGGUAGCUUUAUCUGUAAUCAACACAAACUGGAAACAACCCACAUGUCAAUUGGCACAGUAAAUACACUGGUAUAUCCCUACAGUGGAAUUAUCAGUACUGUACUAUCAGUACAGUAGUUAUCAGUAACUACUGAUAAACAUAGCAAAAUGUGUGAAUCCCAAAAAAAUGUUCCACUGAACAAAAGAUGCCAGGCACAAAAGAAUGCAUGCUAUGUAAUUCUAAUGUACAGUCAGAAACACAAGUAUCUACAAUAUGAAAUUCUAAAAAGGCAAAACUAUAGUGACAGCAGAUGAGUGACUGCCUGGGACUCAGGAAGGGGGUGCAUCUUACUGCAAAGAGGCAUGAGGAAAUGAGAUAAUGGAAAUAUUUUAUUCGCAGUGGUGAGUUACAUGACUAUACAUCUGUCAAAACUCAUCGAAGUAUUAAAAAGUGGGUAUAUUGUGUUAAACUAUACCUCAAUAAAGACGACUUAAAAAGCAAGGGAUAAAUGCUUUAAAACUUAAAAAAUAAAUAAAUAGUAAUGGAUUAAAACUAACUAGGGGGCACCUGCCUGUCUCAGUCGGUUAAGCAUCUGACUCUUGAUUUAGGCUCAGGUCACGAUCUCACAGUUCAUGAGUUUGAGCGCCGCGUCGGGCUCUGCGCUGAUCACGCAGAGCCUGCUUAGGAAUCUCUCCCUCUCUCUCUGCUCCUCCCCUGCUCAUUGUUGCUGUCUAAAAAUAAGCAAAUGAACUUAAAAAUUAAAGAAAAAUAGGAAUCCAUGAGUCCCUAUUGGGAGGGGUGGGGAAUGAAGGUCUAAAUAAACGGGGAAACAAAAGCUCUUUACAGAAUGCCAACUAAUGAAUGUAGAAUGAAUGAUGGAAUUAGAAAAUUACCAUUCAGCCAUCAUAGUAACAGUUUUUUGUCAAGAAACAUCGGUGGAUAGUAAAACUAGUGGACGCAAACUUAUUAAUUACAAAGGGAAAAUAAGUUUUCAGGGAGAAACCUGCCCCCUUAAUCUAGUGAUGGAAGUAAACAAAUAAUGAGACAAGUAGAAACUAUGUGCUACCCACUGUGUUACAUUGACAGCAUCACUCCUAUGCAUUCCAACCCCAAAUGUAAAACCUAAAUUUAAUCAUAGCAGACAUCAGGCGGUGGGGGAAAUCAACAAAAUAACAGCCCUGUAAUCUUAAAAGUUUCAAGUCAUGCAAAUUAACAGGAAAACGAGCCUCCUCCAGACUGAAGGAAACUAGAGAGAUGUAACAAGCAAGUUCAUCAUGUAAUCCUGGAUUGAUUCCUUUUGCCAUAAAAGACAUUCUUGGUACAACUGGCAGAACUUGAAUACAGUCUGUGGAGUAGACAGUAGUAAUGCAUCGAUGUUAAUUUCCUGAUUUUCUUGGUUGUGUUGUGGUAAUGUAGGAGAAUGUCCCUGUGUGUAGGAUACACACUAUAAGUAUUCAAGGAUAAUUGGGCAUCAUAUUCAUGGUUUAAUGAAAUCCUAAAAGGGUUUGGUAUGGUUAACUUUUUGAUACUCUAACUCUAAAAAUUCAUGGGGAAGGAAGAGAAGUGGUGAGAAUACUAUCAAAAAAAAGAGUGAGGACGUUUUAGAGAUUGUCUCCUAGAGUGCUUUUAACCAAGAAUCUGUACUUUACCUUUUGUCUUAAUCGCGAUACCUCUAGGUAAGAAAAGUAUUGAAUUAGAGAAAAAAAGGCUCUCUCAACCUAAGCCAAAGCCCAAAAAGAAGAAAAAGCCCACCUCGAGAGCUCCUGUAAAGCAGGAUGUGUAUGACGGAAAUGAAGACGAGAGCAUCAGGGAGAGCUCGGGACCUGUUGAGAACGGUCUGUCGGACCAGGAGGGUGAGGAGGAAGCCCGGGAGCCAGAGCUACCCAGUAGCAUCAUCUCAGUGGGUAUGUGGCCAAAUCCUGUGUUUCGUGGACUCUCUAGGACUUGAUAGUCAUGACCAGGAAACUAAGCCAGGUCCUUACUCAGUUUGAAAUUUCUCUGUCUCUGACCUAUGUAUUGUCCCAUCUCUGUAACUUAAACUGUAUCUUUGGUGCCGUUAGAAACUCCAUUCAUUUCUUAAAAGGUUAUCUUAAGCCUCUAAACCCCUUUGAAGUGGUAAAGUGGAUCUGGUGGAAGACUGGGAUCGAAAUAGUGAAGGUCUUUAGAAAAAACUUCUUAGCACCUUGGGCAGGAUAAGACUGUGGGGCAAAGUGAAACCAGGGCAGUUUACUCAUAGAAACUGACAUGGGAAAAGUUUUCACAGUAUCACAUCUAGCCACAGUUAUUGAAAGAAACCACUGCCCCUUACCAGCAUCUGACCUAGAAGCUACCGCCACCCUGGGAAAAGGUUAGGAAAAUAAAGAGCUAAAGGCUUAAUGGAUUUAUUUUUUUAGGCUCAUCAAAACGCCUUUAUAUCACAAAAUGGUUGUACAAAAUGUUCUUUACCCCUGUAGACCAGCCGCUGGGUUGUUUUUUUUUAAAGUUCAUGGUUGUGUGUGCUCAGGACUGUGACUCCAUAUCACAUACCCUUAAUAAUUUCUAUUAGUAAAGUUGUUCCUUGUUUGUGUAAUUAAAUAUAUACACUUAAUACUUUGUUACCUAAAUAUGUAACAAGUCUUUUGUCAUCUGAGCAAGGUUUCAGAAUUCCUGGGCCUAUGGUAUAAAGUUGUGGCAGCUGGAAACUUACAAUUUCUCCUGAGAUCAAUCAGUCAAAGUUCUAAGACUUAGACAUUUUGUGAGGUGGGAAAAGGGAGACUACCCAUGUUUCCUUUUGAAAGUAUUUUAUCUCAUGUUAUGGAAUACAUAAAUAAUAUUAAGCCUGGUUUAGUUCUAUAUCAUUAAAAAGAACUAGACUCUAUAUUGUUCUCCUCCAAACUUUUUCUUUAUCUCCUAUGAUACAGCUUCUAGAGAACCAGUUACCUGCACUCCGGUUUCCAUAGGUUUUGAAAAGUCAAAAAUCACUGUUAACAACAAAGUCACAAUACUGAAAAAGGAGCCACCUAAAGAGAAGUCAGGUUGGUGUCUAAUGGUUAAAGUAUUUUGUUAAAGCAUCCUCAAAUAUUACAUGCAACUGAAAACAGUCAAAAAUGUUUGGUUUUUAUUGUUGUUGGUUGGUUAUUAGGAUUUUUGUUUGUUUCUUGGGUUUUAAAUGUUUGUGUUUUGAUUAUUUCAAUUUUGGGUCAUGCUUUUAAACAUUUUUAACACUUAAACAAUUUUAAACAUUUUUUUAACGUUUUCAUGAGGAAGUGUCAUUUUGCAACUGUUGAUAAUGCUUCACAGGGGUUCACAGGGGCGUGUUGUGUGUGUUGUACACACUGCCCCCAGCUAACUUAACCUGAAAGCUUCUUCAUAAGUAGCAAAUUUUCUGAUGACCGGCAUUAUCCCUCCAGUAGGUUACAAUCGCACAAUGGCCAUCCCGUUUGUGAUUCUGAUCAGCUCUUCUUAGACCAUCUAUAUUUUUAUUACAUUUCAGAAUCCAUAACCAAGAAGCGAAAAGCUCGUUCCAUGCUUCCACUGACUACCAGCCUGGACCACAGGUCUAAAGAGGAGCUUCAUCAGGACUGUCUGGUAUUAGCAACGGCAAAACACUCCAAAGGUACAAAAAUACACUCCCUUGGCCCAUCCAUAGUCUUCUGGGAACUAGCACAUAAGAGGCGCUUGCUUGUAUAUUUGUUGAAUGAAUGAGCACACAAAUGUCUAGAGUUGUGUAUAUUUCUAAAUUCUUUUCCAACCUUCCAUCCCCCCCAUGGCCCCACCGCCAGGCUCCCCCGUGCCUUUGCAAUGUAGUGCUCUGGCUUAUUGUUCUAAAUCCAGUUGUCACCAACCAUCUAUGUGCCGGAAUUGGUAUGAUGGCUUAAAUACCUCAGCAUGAAUCAACUCCUUCAACUACUUUUCCCCCAGGAAAACAGUAUCUUCAAUUAGAAAAAAAGAGUAUUUCCUUGUUGGAAAUAUACCCAUAAUAUGGCAGUUCCUUUUUUUGGAUUUGGUGGAAGUUUUUGUUAUAGAAAGUUUUUUUUAUUUUACUUUUGCAAAGCUCUCAUUUAAGGCCCAUUAUUUUGAUAUUUGAACAGCUAUAUUUUUUUGAAUUUUACAUGUUGAAAAUAGAUACACAUGAUAAAAUGAAAUUCUGAGCUUCAAAAAGAAUGUAAAUCCCCAUCCCACCCCGAUACCCAAUCCUCACUGACCACACUGUUAACAGUUUUUGUCUCUCUCCAGAAAUAUUUUAUGCUCUUCUUACAUACAUAAGCCUCUUUUGGGGACUUUAUCUUGACUUCCUAUAACUUACACACUUUAUCAUAUAGCUUUACAUUAUUAACUUUACUGGAAAGUUACUCAGUUGACUUUUUAAAAACCAGAAUGAUUAUUGAAUCCCUUUGUGGUGGGUCCUAGUAAAUGUUAAGGACAUUUCUUGUUGGGAUUUGAGGUUGGCCUUUUUUUUUUUGAGGCAGAGGAGGGGCAGAGAAAUAGGGAGAGAGAGAAUCCCAAGUAGGUUCCACACUCAGCAUGGAGCCCAGCGAGGGGCUCAAUCUCACAACCGUGAGACCACUGCCUGAGCAGAAAUUAAGAGUCAGACACUCAAAUCGAGCCACCCAGGUGCCCCUGGGGCUAGCUUUUUACAUCCUCUUUCACCCCUUCCCCAUCUUUAUUUGAGCAAACUGCAGACUAAAUUGUCUCACUGGAUUUUGCCAAGGCUGAGCUUUAACACAGUGUUUUCAUGUUUUGCUACCCUUGUAACCAGGAGGGGUCUCUGUUAGGGUAAACAAGGGCACAGGACUUCUCUUCACUGUCUGAAAUGGGUCGUCUGGACACACAUUUGGAAGUAAUUGGACAGAAAACAGUAACCUCAUUUUCUUGUCUUUUUGAAUUCGCAGAGCUAAAUGAGGACGUGUCUGCUGAUCUUGAGGAAAGAUUUCACCUGGGACUUUUCACAGACAGGACUGCCCUGUACAGAAUGAUUGAGGUUGAAGGUGAGGCAAGUCCAGUCAACAUAACCCAGUCUGUCUCCAUGCUUCCCUAAUACUUUGUACACACCUGUUUUAUGGCUGCCAUCCUGUGGCAUCAUACUGGUUGGUUUUACAUUUCAACUAACUAGGUUUUGAGUUCCCCAAUCUGCAUAUUCCCAUAUACCCCUUGCAUCUCUCAUAGGACCCUAAACAUACAGUGUUCACUCUGAGUGUAAGUGAAAAUGAGUGGGUGGACAAGGGACUGAGUGGGCUUUAAACCACAUUAUGAACACUCUGAGAGAUGACUCACCCAUCAGCCAGCAACAACAUAUUACAGGAAUUUGUUCCCCUCUUUUCAUCCUGACUUUCCUUCUCUUAAAGUCUGUGCAGACAGGUUUCUGAAACAUCUUCCCAACAUUAUGUCUCCUCCAAACAGGAAAGGGUCACUUGGAGAAUGGCCACCCUGAGUUAUUUCACCAGCUCAUGCUUUGGAAAGGAGAUCUAAAAGGUGUUCUUCAGACGGCAGCGGAAAGGGGGGAGCUGACAGACAGUCUUGUGGCUAUGGCACCAGUUGGUAUGUUCUUCUCGACAAAAGGGCUGUCAUCUUGAAGAUAAGUCCACUAAAGAUGGACACUCUCUUGCAGGACAAUUUGGCCAUGUCUAAAAACUUUAACUCCGCAAUUCUAGGUGUUGGAAAUUAACUGUACUCACACAAAACUGUACUUGCAAAAUGACAAGUAUACAGGCACUGUCAUUACAGCAGUGUUUGUCAUAGCAAAAGACCACAGGAACCUCUCUGUCCAUCAGUAAGAGACUGGCUAAAUCUCAUACCUCUACAGUAGAAUCUCUUGGGAAAAAUUAGGCAGCUCUUUGCAUUCUAGUAUGGAAUGAAGCUCCAAAAGCGUAGUAGGGAGAAGACUCAAGAUGUUGAUACAUGACAAUAUUUACUACUCUGUCAUUUAUAUUUGUCUUCACAUAGUAUUUCAAAAAGGUUUCAAAAGAAAUUAGAAAUAAUGGUUGUCUCUAGGCAAAGAAAUUUGGAUGAGUUUGGGUGGGAGGACACCAGAAUAACAAGGUAAAUUAUGCCAUGCCCAGUUUUUAACUUUAUUCAAGUAUACUUUAAAAAAAAAAAAAGAAGUACACAGGUUAUGAUGGCACAAACUGAAUACACCCUUGUAACCAGCACCAUAUCAAGAAGUAUAACACUGCCAGAAAGCACCUAGGAAGCUUCACUCAUGCUCCUGUUCAUUCAGUCUCCACACACCCCAACAAGGCUAAUCACUGCCCUGACUUCCAUAUUCUCUUGUACCUUUUGAAUUUUGCAUUAUUUUUUAUGUGUUAGCUAAUCAAAGAGAAAAAAAUUUAUGUUUCAAAACAUGGGUAUAGGGCGAGUAAAUGAAGCAGAUAAUCUGUAAUGAUAACUGAAUUCAGAGUAUCUAAAUGCUCUACUUAGUGCAGUGACUAAAACCAAGGUGUUUUCAUUCCAAAUGUAGAUUCUUUUUUUCCUUACCCCUGCUGCUGCUUAUUCAACCGUCAUUUUUUUUUUUUUUUUUAGCUGGCUACCAUGUGUGGCUGUGGGCCGUGGAAGCUUUUGCCAAACAGCUGUGUUUUCAAGAUCAGUACGUUAAGGCUGCCUCUCACCUCCUUUCUAUCCACAAAGUAUAUGAAGCUGUAGAGCUGCUCAGGUCAAACCACUUCUACAGGUUUGUAGGACCCUACAGUUGAACCACCAGUUGGGCACAGUGUGGAAUUAAUCUGCUGACCGGUGCCACUUAACGAUAACCAGCAGAAAUCUUGGUUGUAAUUAAACAUUACAGACGUACAGAAAUACAUGCACACUAGCCUAACAAACACCAGUGUACCCACUACCCAUACUUAACAAGCGUUAACUUCGAUCAGUAUUUGCCACUGAUCUUUUUCAGAAUUUCUUUAUCCCUAAAGUUGCAAGCAUAGAGAAACCGUGUAAUACAAAAGAGAUGGGAUCUUGUCAGCCACCCCAAAAGCUCCCCAUGUCCCCGACUGUUGUUGUUUUUAAGUAUAACACUCCAGAUUUGACUGAAUUGCCUUUCUCCAGUUCUGUCCUCAUCCUUUCUCUAAGAAGCAACCAUUCUGCUGAGAUUGGUUUGAAUCCUUCCUCUCCAAGUUACUACACUUUCACUAUAAUACAUUUGUAAGUAAUGACAAACAAAAGGAGUAAAAUAUUUCUUAUAAACAGCAUACAGGUUUUUUUUUUAUCCAUUCUGAUGGUUUCUGUCUUUUAAUUGGAAUGGUUAGGCCAUUUACAUUGAAUAUAAAUAUUGGUGCAAUUAAAAUUUACCAUCUUGCUAUUUUGCUUUCUUUUGGAUUACUUGAAUAUUUUCUUAUCUCCAAUCCUGGCUUAUUAGCUAUACUCUAUUUUAUGGUUGCUUUAGGGUUGAUGAUGAUUAGCAUGUUUUUUUAAUUUUUAAGUUUAUUUAUUUAUAUUGAGAGAGAGAGAGAGAGAGAGAGAGAGAGAGAGAGAGAAUAUCCCAAGCAGGCUCCACACCAUUAGCACAGAGCCCAACGUGGGGCUCAGACCCACAAACCAUGAGAUCGUGACCUGAUCUGAAACCAAGAGUCAGGCAUUUAACUGACUGAGCCACCCAGGCGCCCCAUGAUUAGCGUUUUUAAUUUUCACAGUUUACUUUCAACUAAUAUUGUCCUACAUCUUAUAUAAAACUUAUUUCUUUCCUUCCCUCCUGUCCUUUCUGCUACUUACUUGUCAUAUAUUUGACAUGUUAUAGCCCCACAUUACAGUGUUAGAAUUUUUGCUUUAACCUGUCAUCUUUUUAAAUAACUUUUUAACUUUAAAACUUUUUUUAGGGGCGCCUGGGUGGCGCAGUCGGUUAAGCGUCCGACUUCAGCCAGGUCACGAUCUCGCGGUCCGUCAGUUCGAGCCCCGCCUCAGGCUCUGGGCUGAUGGCUCAGAGCCUGGAGCCUGUUUCCGAUUGUGUGUCUCCCUCUCUCUCUGCGCCUCCCCCGUUCAUGCUCUGUCUCUCUCUGUCCCAAAAAUAAAUGUUGAAAAAAAAAAAUUUAAAAAAAAAAAACAAAACUUUUUUUAUAUCACCCACAUACUUAUUUCUAGCAUUUUUCAUUCUCUUACGUAGGUCCAACGUUCCAACUGCUAUCAAUUCCUUCUUCACCUGAACAAGAAUUUCAUUUUUUUUGUAGUGUGAUUCUUCUGGUGACCAAUUCCAUCAGCUUUUGUUUGUCUAUAAAAGUCUUUAAUUUUGCCUUCAUUUUAAAGGAUCUUUCUCUGGGGGUAGAAUUCUAGAUUGGCAGUUUUUGUCUUUCAGGGCUUCAGAGAUGACUGUUUACUCUUACAUUGUUCUUGACUUGACUGCAUCUAUUCCCAUCUUUGUUAUAUAGGAACUGUCAUUUUUUUCUCACUGUUUUUAGAACUUUCUCCAUCACUGAUUUUCAGCCAUUUGAUGUGAUGGCUUUGGUGAGACUUUGUCUUUUUCCUGUUUUGGUUUGUCUUCCUCUGAAGGGUGUUGAACUCUGUUUUAGUGAGCACUAAAGUUGCUAAUAGAACAGCUUGAUCUUUUCAUGGCUUGUUUUUAAGGUUUCUUAGAACAGGUUUAGAGAAAUCUUUUUUUGUUUUUUUAAGUUUAUUUAUUUUGAGAGAGAGAGUGCGCAGGAGAGGCAAAGAGAGAAUCCCAAGCAGGCUCCUUACUGUCAGCGUAGAACCCAACGUGGGGCUUGAACUCACGAACCGUGAAAUCAUGACCCGAGCCAAAAUCAAGAGUUGGACACCUAACCGACCGAGCCACCCAGAGAAAUCUAUAUUCUAGAAUUAGUUUGUCCUUCUACCUUCUGGUGUCUUUACUGAAUGCCUGUGUGUUCAACAAAUCAGAACUCAAAUGUCUGGCUGGUCAAAACACUGAAGUCCCCUAUGCCCUGAGUGAACUCUGGGAAUUAUUCAGCUUAUAAUUCCCUGAUUGUUCUUUAUGCAGCCUUAAGGAAUGUCCUACACAUGCAUGGCUUUGUGUUUAGCCAAAGACUCAUGAGAUCCCCAAACAGAGUUCUGUAGGGCUUCCCCUGGAUAGCUUCUUCCUUCCUAUUAUCCUGCCCCUCAUAUUCCAAUUAUUUUGUCUCUCCUCCACUCAGUAAGACUGCUGGGGCUCUGCUGGGUUCUCUAUAGGAAAAUGGCUAUUAGGAGGUUCCCUUCUCUCGGGGAUAACAAUCCUGAGCUGCAUGGAUCCAAUGUCUGAAAACAGUUGUUUCAUACAUAUUUUGUCUAGUUUAGCGGCAGGAGGGUAAGUCUGGUAAGUUGAUGUCUCAAAAUACUUCUUAAACAUUGCUCUGCAUAGAUCACCUUAAUCUAAAAUACUUUUAUUCUAGCUACAACUUUAUGUUGGCUACAACUCAGAAGUUGUAGGUCAGUUGAAAAUAUUAGCUCACUGAAUUAUACAGAUACUCCAGAUGUUAACACAUUUCAUUAUAAAAUAUCCAGAAACAUUCACAUUCUUAAAUAUCACCAUCAGUCUCUUCAGAAAAGUCUUUAGCAUUUGGGAAGCUAUCUAGCCCACAGUGGCAGGCAUAGAUUUUCUAAAAUUCUCAUUUUCACUUGAAAGCUCAAAAUUUAUCAUUGGCAAAAAUACUAUUGGUUGUCAAGUGACAGACUUGGGGAUCCCCAGGAAUCCACAGACCACACGUUAAGAACUGCUGACCCAGGUGAAGAAUUGAGCUCAGCAUGUGGUUUUAACUUCCCACGUGGGGUGCCUGGGUGGCUCAGUCGAUUGAGCGUCCGACUUUGGCUGGUCAGGUCAUGAUCUCAUGGUUCAUGGUUUCAAGCCCCGAGUUGGGCUCUGUGCUGAGCUCGGAGCCUGGAGCCUGCUUCAGCUUCUGUGUCUCCCUCUCUCUCUGCCCCUCCCCUGCUCACGCUGUCUCUCUCUGACUCUCAAAAAUAAAUAAAUGUAAAAAAAAAAAAAAAAAUUUAACUUCCCACAUAGUGCAGGAAAAUGGUUUUGUACAGGAAGUUGGAACAGUAUAAACAACACAAGAGGGACAGUUUAUCCUAUCUUCCAGCCUUUUCAAAUUGGCUUUUUAUCUGUUCUGGCCUCUAGGGAAGCUAUUGCAGUUGCCAAGGCCCGACUGCGCCCAGAAGACCCGAUCCUGAAGGACCUGUACCUCACCUGGGGAGCCAUCCUGGAAAAAGACGGCCAUUAUGCUGUGGCCGCCAAAUGGUAAGCUGGAGGGAACAGGCAUGUACCCAAACAUUGAAGAGCUGUGAUGCAGAAGAGCAGGACGAGAGUAGUAAGUUUAGAGGGGGAGGUAAAGUGACUAGAAAACAAAAAGCCUUAUGUGUAUUAAACCUAGCUUCAUAAGAUUCAUCGUCCUUGAAUGAAUCCUUUAUAUAAACCACCUCCCUUAUAUAAAUCACCAUAACUACUGAAGAAACCUCAGUAGCAGACUCAGAAAUUCCACCUUUCUCUAGUAAUGUCUUUACUAUCAAAUAAGGAAACUGGGAGAGAAUAAAAACUCUAUUUGGGUUCAGUUCAGCAAAUGUAUGUCCUUACCCUGUAGGAUGCUGCCACUCAUUCUCUAUGUUGAGAUGGAAGAGGGUAUAGGAGAUCUGUUCAUGACACUUUUGGGUUUUUGUUUGUAUUACAGCUAUUUAGGGGCUGCUUCUGCUUAUGAUGCAGCCAAAGUUUUAUCCAAGAAGGGAGACGCAGCAUCACUUAAAACAGCUGCAGAACUGGCUUCAAUUGUAGGAGAGAAUGAGUUGUCCUCUUCCCUGGCUCUCAGAUGUGCCCAAGAGCUGCUUUUGGCCAGGAACUGGGUGGGAGCCCAGGAAGCACUGAAGCUACAUGAAAGUCUAAAGGUCAGUCUGUUCUUGUAUCUCCAGAUAUUUAAGAGGGAAAGUCCACAAGUCCUUUUCUAGUCAAAUUCCAAAUGAAUAACCCAGUUGCACAGCUGUCCCAGUUUGGCAGGUACCCUUAGAAGUGUCCAGCAAGCCCUGGCCAUACUAUCCCAUGGAAGUACCAUGGCUUGUCCACUGCCAUAUUCAGAGUAAGAGAUAAUGUAGUCAUUCAUAUUAUUCUCCUUCCUUAUCAAUUUGUGUACAACAUACAUGAGUCGAUUUUAGUCAGCAUAGCCCUGAGCUAGCAGUCUGGUGUUUCUUUAUUGGUGUCAUCAGGUCUUCUUUGAAGAGGGAGAGGAAGGGGAGGAUUUCCAACAGAAAUCAAGGUGCUCCGCCAUAGCAUCACUCUUUAACUAUAAGCCAUAACGAAGUGUGGCGAAAUCAACAUUUUGUUAAAUGUCUGUUUAUCCCUUUCUGGUUAACUAUGAGUAACUCACCACUGUUUUAUUUGACGCAUCAAACUGAGAUUACUUUAAAAGCAUCAGCACUCUCAUUUUCUAAAACACAUAAACAUUUUAGACAGCUUUACUGCUCAGAUACUAACAUGAACUUUGUAAGCUCCCCUCUCCCUAAUAGAGUAACUGGACCUAAAGACAGUUCCUACCUAAAUAUUGAAACCCAAGAAAAAUAGUAGCUUUCUAGGAAAGCUACUUCCUAGCAAAAGUAAUAUGCCCUCAAAGACAGUGUCACUUGGUGUAUUACUUAUAAAAUGACCAAAUCUAAAGAGAUUUUAAUUUAUCCAUAGCAAAAAAAAAAUUCCAGAAUGGUUAUUUAAGCAUUUCUUUUUUCUCUUAAAAAGCAUCCUUAUGAAAGCAAGAAAACCUUUACGUUUAUGCAGAAUGCUGUUCUGGUCAUUGUCAGGCUAUUUGGGCUAAUAUUUUGCCAAGCCGAACUGAGAAAAUACUGUUACAAGGGUAUACGUGAACCUCAUGGCAACUGAAGGUCUUAGCAAAAAGAAAGAUACUUGCUGACUCCUCUGAAGCCUGCUGGGACAUGGCACCCGAUACCUGCCGCAGCUGUCAUAUCUGCACAGCUUAUCUGCUCUAGCACCUUCUGCCCAUUGCACUUUGCUUCUGUAUCCCUUAAUGUAAAGUUUGGACAGGGGGAAAGAACUGGAUGAGCCCAGGCUGUCUUUUCUCAAACUGGGUCAUAAGUCUUAGGUGACUGUCCUGUAUGUGGUCUACACUGCAGUGGACAGGGCUGUAGUUGGGAUUCUGUGUCGUAAAACUAUUUGCUUGGGCUCCAGGCUACCUCCAGGAUUCCUGCAAAGGCAUCUGGAAAAAUGUCUAUUAGAUCACCUCUUUACCCCCCGCCCCCUCACUCAAUGACUCACACUGGCCAGAGGCAGCCCCCUAAAGGGUCUGGUUGCUGCAGAUGCGAUGGGGAACACAGAGAAACUGAGAAGAGCUGUUGAGAUAAUCAGACACUUCCAUUGCCUAACAGUUCCUGUCCUUGUUGUUGGGUUUCAGGGGCAGAGACUGGUGUUUUGCCUUCUUGAGCUCCUGUCCAAGCGCCUGGAGGAAAGGCAGCUUUCGGAGGGCAAAAGUUCUUUCUACAAUGUGUGGGCUGCAGGCACUGAAGGGCCCUUCGUGGAGAGGGUGACUGCAAUAUGGAAGAGCACCUUCAGCCUGGAGACCCCAGAGCAGUACCAGGCAGCAUUACAGCAGCUGCAAACUAUCAAGUACCCAUCUGCUA
rnacentral:lncRNA from 1 species